GAGCUGGGUUUAGAACGUCGUGAGACAGUUCGGUCCCUAUCUGCCGUGGGUGUAGGAUACUUGAGAGGAGUUGCCCCUAGUACGAGAGGACCGGGGUGAACGAUCCACUGGUGGACCUGUUGUGGCGCCAGCCGCAGUGCAGGGUAGCUAUGAUCGGAAAGGAUAACCGCUGAAGGCAUCUAAGCGGGAAGCCCCCCUCAAAACAAGGUAUCCCUGAGAGCCGAGGUAGACCACCUCGUCGAUAGGCCGGAGAUGUAAGCGCAGCAAUGCGUUCAGUUGACCGGUACUAAUGGCUCGAUAGGCUUGAU
rnacentral:rRNA from 1 species